rnacentral:rRNA from 1 species
GAUGAACGCUAGCUACAGGCUUAACACAUGCAAGUCGAGGGGUAGCAGGAGAGAAGCUUGCUUUUCUUGCUGACGACCGGCGCACGGGUGAGUAACGCGUAUCCAACCUUCCCCAUAGUAGGGAAUAGCCCGGCGAAAGUCGGAUUAAUGCCCUAUGUUGUAUUAUGAGGACAUCUGAGCAAUACCAAAGAUUUAUCGCUAUGGGAUGGGGAUGCGUCUGAUUAGGUAGUAGGCGGGGUAACGGCCCACCGAGCCAUCGAUCAGUAGGGGUUCUGAGAGGAAGGUCCCCCACAUUGGAACUGAGACACGGUCCAAACUCC